UACGUAGGGAGCAAGCGUUGUCCGGAAUCAUUGGGCGUAAAGCGCGCGUAGGUGGCUUCAUAAGUCCGUUGUGAAAGUCAAAGGCUCAACCUUUGAAAGCCGAUGGAUACUGUGAAGCUAGAGUACGGAAGAGGCGAGUGGAAUUCCUGGUGUAGCGGUGGAAUGCGCAGAUAUCAGGAGGAACACCAAUAGCGAAGGCAGCUCGCUGGGACGUUACUGACACUGAGGCGCGAAAGCGUGGGGGAGCGAACAGG
rnacentral:rRNA from 1 species